CCUCAAGGAAGGCUGAUCAUACAAGCAUCAAGGUACCGGGGUGGAUCUGUGUUUGAGGGACUUUCCUGUUGGAUCCAUCAUGUCACGAACAACCAAGACGGACUCUAAUGAAGGCUUCUCAUUCGCUUUGAAAGAGGCUGUGGAGAUGUUGGAAAGGGUACAAAUGGACAUUUUCUAAAUGCAAACCAGAAAACGGAAACUUCCUCCAGCCGCCCCUGUGGGUUUUACCCUGCCAACCAGGCAAACACAACAACCACAGAAACUGCACCAACACAACAACGACAACUCGAGCAGCAACAUCCCAGCAGCGCGACACCUCACCUGUUAGGAUGAGCAGCACAGAGCACACGUAGAGUGCUGUUCUUCCUGGGGCCUCCAUGGCAUCUUAUCCUCGUGGGGAUAUGUGGGACCUGUGACAGGCGGCCAGGGAGUGAGGGAGGGAUGGAGGAAGGAGGAGAGGAGUGGGAGAGAACGAGGAGGAGGAGGAGGAGGAGGAGCAGGAGAGAAAUAUGACUGGUUGUGGUGACAACAUUUACAAGGGAAAUAAGAGGACUGAGCUCAUAGCCUGCAUGCACAGAGGCCCCUCCCAUGUGACACCAGGAGGACGAUAGCACGGUGUGGUCCUCUCUCUCUCUCACACACACUCACACUCACACUCACACACAGACACACACACAGUGAGAGCCGCCCUGAGGCUGAGGGUUUCGCCCUGUCAAAGAGAAACUGAGACAUAAAUAUACAACUGUAAAAGGAUAGCGGAGAGCAGAAUGGAAACAGUCUCUUUACAUCAUCCCUCACCAGCUGUCUGCUCCUUCAGUCCCCCAGGCAGCGAAACAAGGGCUGAGCAGGCGCACAAAGAGCUUCAACCGGUGACGGCAGGCAGUUUGGUUAAGUUACAGAACUUUCAGGGGGCAAGAUAGUUUGCAAUUAGAUAUUCUGUCCGUGAGGAUUUUGUGAGCAAGGAAAAAGACACUGGUACCAGGGUGAGGAGUUCUGCUGUGACACUCACACACUGACCUUUCAGAUGGACACUAUCAGGUCAUUAGGGCCCGAGCACUGAGAGGCACUGACAGACAGUGAGGCCCUAUUGAAAUUGUAAGGAUUAUUAUUAUUAUUAUUAUUAUUCAGGCAAAUGAAUUGGCUUUUUGAGGUAAACAUUAUCAUUUAAAAAAAAGAAGAAGUGGACUGCGCAGGAUUCAUUUAAUUAAAUAAAAUUUAUUUAGUUAUUUUUGUUUUUAAUUUUCUAGAGUUUUCUCAGUUUUUUCGGUUUAGCCCUUUUGCAAUCUUUUCUAGUUUCCUGUAUUUUGCACGUUUGUUUUCUUUUGUAGGAACCUUAGCCUUAAUUUAAGGACUCUUUUGUUUUGCUACUGAACUUUGUUUUGCUUCCGUAACUUCUAUUAUCAAUUGAAUAACUUAUACUCUAACUAAAUAAAGGUUUGGUUGUGUUCCGUGCUCAGGUCCUGUUACUUUGAAGCUUUAUGUGAUCUUAAAUGAAUUUGGCUAGGUGGUGACCUGAUAGCUGAAUGGUUAGGAUGAGCUCUGGUUUCUAUUAUUGUUAUGUUGUUUGUUUUUAAAUUUAAAUUUAGUUUUCCCACCCUCAAGGAGACAUUGUGGAUUCGAAAAUCUGAUUUAAUUCACCCUGACGAACACUUGUUUGUGCCACAGGCAGCGUGGGUUUUAUU